rnacentral:misc_RNA from 1 species
UGGUUCUGGCAUNGAUGAAGAACGCAGCGAAAUGCGAUAAGUAAUGUGAAUUGCAGAAUUCAACGAAUCAUCGAAUCUUUGAACGCACAUUGCGCCCAUUGGUAUUCCGAUGGGCAUGCCUGUUCGAGCGUCAUUUCAACCCUCAAGCCCUGUAGCUUGGUGCUGGAGCUUCUAUAGUCUAAGGCUAUAGGCUCUGAAAGAACUUGGCGGGAUUUUUAUAGACCCGAACGUAGUAAUACUUUUCGUUUAGGGAGUUAUAAAAGUCUUUAGCCGUUAAACCCCCAACUUUUACAAGGUUGACCUCGGAUCAGGUAGGAAUACCCGCUGA